GAUGAAGAACGUAGCGAAAUGCGAUAAGUAAUGCGAAUUGCAGAAUUCAGUGAAUCAUCGAAUCUUUGAACGCACAUUGCGCCCGCUAGUAUUCUGGCGGGCAUGCCUGUCUGAGCGUCAUUUCAACCCUCGCCCCCGGCUUUUGCUGGGAGCGGUGUUGGGGAUCGGCCGCCCGUCACUGGGAGGCCGGCCCCGAAAUAGAGUGGCGACCACGCCGUGUGCUCCUCUGCGUAGUAGUAAAUCACCUCGCAGGCGGACAGCGGUGCGGCCUGCCGUAAAACCCCCAACUCUUUCUGGUUGACCUCAGAUCAGGUAGGAAUACCCGCUGAACUUAAGCAUAUAAUAAGCGGAGGA
rnacentral:misc_RNA from 1 species